rnacentral:rRNA from 1 species
CAGCCGCCGCGGUAAUACGUAGGGGGCGAGCGUUGUCCGGAUUUACUGGGCGUAAAGGGUGAGUAGGCGGUUAUAUAUGUCAGGUGUAAAAGGCUAUGGCUUAACCAUGGUUAGCACUUGAAACUGUAUGACUUGAGUGCAGGAGAGGUAAGUGGAAUUCCUAGUGUAGCGGUGAAAUGCGUAGAUAUUAGGAGGAACACCAGUGGCGAAGGCGACUUACUGGACUGUAACUGACGCUGAGUCACGAAAGCGUGGGUAGCAAACAGGAUUAGAUACCCUGGUAGUCCACGCUGUAAACGAUGAGUGCUAGGUGUUGGCCAGCGAUGGUCAGUGCCGGAGUUAACACAAUAAGCACUCCGCCUGGGGAGUACGUACGCAAGUAUGAAACUCAAAGGAAUUGACGGGGACCCGCACAAGCAGCGGAGCAUGUGGUUUAAUUCGAAGCAACGCGAAGAACCUUACCAAGGCUUGACAUCCCCUUGACAGGUACAGAGAUGUACCAUCAUUUUCGAAUGCAAGGGAGACAGGUGGUGCAUGGCC